rnacentral:lncRNA from 1 species
GAACCCAAGUGCGGGGCAGCCUCAGGAAGGUGACUUCUGUUAUUCUCCCUGUGUGCUGUGUCUUUAGGAAAAUCCCCCUCACACGACAGCCCAACAGCCUUAUACCCGCAGUUGCUCUGGGAGCAGGGGAAAAUGUCCUGCAGUUCUUGCCCCUCAUUUGGGUCAACUCCAGGACAGAAGUAAAGGCGACAGCUGCAAGGAAUCAGCAGAAGCAGGACAGCAGCCAUGAGCACAUGAGCCCCCAGAGCUGGCAGAAACCUUGGAGGCUUUGUGUAGCUACAGUGAUGGCCACGUCUGGGCUGGCACUCACCUUAUGCCAGUCUCUAGGGAGGAGCCCGCAUUUGCAGGCUGGGUUACAUCUUUUCCCCUCUUCCACGCUGGGAUUCUUUUUUUUUUUUUUUUUUUUUUUUGAGACAGAGUCUCGCUCUGUCGCCCAGGCUGGAGUGCAGUGGUGCGAUCUCGGCUCACUGCAAACUCCGCCUCCCAGGUUCAAGCAAUUCUCCUGCCUCAGCCUCCGGAGUAGCUGGGAUUACAGGCACCCACCCCCAUGCCCGGCUAAUUUUUGUAUUUUUAGUAGAGACAGGGUUUCGCCAUGUUGGCCAAGCUAGUCUCAAACUCCUGACCUCAGGUGAUCCGCCUGCCUUGGCCUCCCAAAGUGCGGGGAUUACAAGCAUGAGCCACCGUGCCCGGCCUGGAAAUUGUUUUUUUUUUUAAACCCUCAGGUGAUUCUGACUCUCCUGGAACCUGAGAACCACCAGUCUACGGGAACAGAGCCCUGCUUUGGGUCAGACGGGGUUUCGCCGGGCUGGUCUCCGCUCCUGACCGCGAGUGAUCCGCCGGCCUCGGCCUCCCGAGGUGCCGGGAUUGCAGAUGGAGUCUCGUUCACUCGGUGCUCAAUGGUGCCCAGGCUGGAGUGCAGUGGCGUGAUCUCGGCUCGCUACAACCACCUCCCAGCCGCCUGCCUUGGCCUCCCGAAGAGCCGAGAUUGCAGCCUCUGCCCGGCCGCCACCCCGUCUGGGAAGUGAGGAGCGUCUCUGCUUGGCCGCCCAUCGUCUGGGAUAUGAGGAGCCCCUCUGCCUGGCUGCCCAGUCUGGAGGGUGAGGAGUGUCUCUGCCCGGCCGCCAUCCCAUCUAGGAAGCGAGGAGCGCCUCUUCCCCGCCG